GUCCAGCAGGUCUGGGAGAGGGUGGCUGCUAGACUGUGAGUUAAUGUUAAUGAUGAGCGCGGUGAAAAUACCAGCCGCUGCCACCCCCUGCACACAGAAGCGCUCUGAGUCAGCAUCAGAUGCUUCGCCUCGCCUCUGCCGGGUGUCUGGUGCUGUGUGCGCGCGCGUGCUCGCUAGGCAUCCGUGUCUAGCCUAGGGGAGGGGUGGCGUGUGAGUGCGUGGAGGGUAAAAGCCAGUCAGUCAGUGAGAAGCAAAGAUCAACCACUUCAGAAGAACCAGAUUCCACUUCUAUGACCAGGACUUUUAUGUUAUGGCUGGUCCGAUUGUUUUACCCUGCGUUCUAUGCUACUAAACCUUGGAUCAUUCCUAAAGUACAAAUUCUGUUCUUGAACCACAAACAAGCUAAAAGAUCGGAGGAAAUUCAGUGAAUAUGCAGGAUUGGGAUUGUGUGUUUUCAAAAGUGUUGAGAUUUAUAAUGCAAUCAUUCAAGAAAUAGAAUCAUUUUUUUAUGUUGUUGCCAGCAUUUUAAGUUAGCUGUUUAUUAAGUGACAUUCAUCAAAUAACUACAGAUUAUGCAUGGAAAUAUUUGCUGUCUGAAUAGUUUGGAGAUUUAACGAGAAAAUCAAGCUUCAGAGGAUUCUUUGGAUCAAUAUCAUUCUGUUUAGAAGUUCUAAACACAUCAGUAUUCCAGUGAAGCUACAAAAGACUUGUAGAGGUGUCUGAGGAUUUGUGAGCAUCAAGUGAAUGUUCUAUGGAAUCAUCUUUCCUUGCCUUUGAAUUACCUUUCCCUAGGCCAUGAGUCAACAUCCAUAUUUUAUUCUUCCAAAUUGGGAUUGCAAGUUGUAAAGAGAGUGGAAGCUUAGACUCAGUGGACAUCUUUGUUGCCAUUGUGGAAAUAUCCUACUUGAGAAUGAAAGACAUGGAAUACACCAAUUUGUAACUGGAAAGAAGCCAUUUAUUUAAAAAGUUGUUCAUUUUUCCUCUCUCUUCCAAGUUCUUUCUGCCCUCUCUGACUCUCCCAUUCCAUGCCACUUCCUUUUUUCCUCUUUCCCUCUUUCUCCACUGUGUUGAUUUCAUUCUCAGGUAGGCUCUUGGCAUUUGGUGGUAAAGUGGAAGGUCUCUGGGAGCUCCAGAAUUAUGUAUCAUUGUAACAUCUUGGAAUUAUAGAAAAAAAAAGAGAAAACAAGAUUCUCUUUACCCACGUAUCAAUUUCAGGGAUAAGAAAGGCUCUGAUUGCCUGUUUUGGCCACAUGCCUAUUGGUGGAUCCAUUUCUGUCCCCAAAUUAAUAUUUCUCUGAUUGAACAUCCACUGUAGAGAAAGUAGGCAAGGAAAUUGACAUAGUAAAGCCCUGAAAAAUGAAUGAGGGUCUGACAAUGGCAGAGAUUGAAAGAAAUUUAAAGCAGGCCAAAACAUGUAAACAGGACUCUUGAAACAACCACUACCAACUUCUAAACUGUUCAGCAUGAUGCUAUCUUAUAGACUUUAGUCACAUAUUUUUGUAUUUGAAUUGACCUGGUAGGCUUGGUCAUACCUAUCAACAUGUACCCCAUGGAUUAUUCGGCCAAAUGUAUUCUGUAUAGCAUGGAAAUUGUAAAAUAUUUACUGCAUCAACUUUGACUCUCAUGGUGAUUAAUUACAGUUUAGUGAUAUCAUCUAUUAUCAUUUACUUUGUUGGAUACAUCAAAAAAGUAAGCAUUUAGCCUCAUUUAGGAAUUGGAAAUUUUAUAAGUUACUAAGAAUUCUUAGAAAUAGGAGUUCAGUUAAGAAGAGAUAGUGAUUUUAUUUUGUUAUCUAAUGUGUCUAUCCUUAGCCACCAUGAUUUGUUCAUUCUGUUAGAGCAAAUUUAUAUACUUACACCUUUUAACUUUGGUAUUGGAGAGAUUUCUAUUGCUAAUUAUUGGAAAUUCUUCGUUCAUGAAUUGAUUUCUAACCUUCA